UACGAAGGGGGCUAGCGUUGUUCGGAAUUACUGGGCGUAAAGCGCACGUAGGCGGACUACUAAGUCAGGGGUGAAAUCCCGGGGCUCAACCCCGGAACUGCCUUUGAUACUGGUAGUCUCGAGUCCGGAAGAGGUGAGUGGAAUUCCGAGUGUAGAGGUGAAAUUCGUAGAUAUUCGGAGGAACACCAGUGGCGAAGGCGGCUCACUGGUCCGGUACUGACGCUGAGGCGCGAAAGCUAGGGUAGCAAACGGG
rnacentral:rRNA from 1 species